rnacentral:rRNA from 1 species
CAGUCGCCGCGGGAAUACGUAGGUGGCAAGCGUUGUCCGGAAUUAUUGGGCGUAAAGCGUGCGUAGGCGGCUUUUUAAGUCGGAUGUGAAAUCCCUGAGCUUAACUUAGGAAUUGCAUUCGAUACUGGGAAGCUAGAGUAUGGGAGAGGAUGGUAGAAUUCCAGGUGUAGCGGUGAAAUGCGUAGAUAUCUGGAGGAAUACCGAUGGCGAAGGCAGCCAUCUGGCCUAAUACUGACGCUGAGGUACGAAAGCAUGGGGAGCAAACAGGAUUAGAUACCCCCGUAGUCCCUGUCUCUUUACA